ensembl:lncRNA
AAGGUACAUUCUCUGCUGAUAGACGUCCACGCCUCGAAGGAAGUCGAUCCACGGAUUAGGCCCUGGAAACCGUUUCCUUCAACAUGGAUGUGUGUUCUCCUGUCUGUUGGUCAGGCCACCAGAUGUCACCAGAGAGGACUGUGUUGAAAAGCUUCGAGUAAUGAACCGUUUUUCAACACAAGCUUCAGUGCUUCAGAAAGCGUCAUUUGACCAUCACUACCGUCAGGUAUCAAGCUGGCAUGAGAAGAUCUAGCUCAUCUUGAUUACCAGAGUGAAGAAACACAAGGAGAGGGGACCCCCAUAUCCUCCACAGAGCUAGGGGACAACAACAUGGACCCAUCAAUCAUCACACAGGAUGGAGGAGGACAGCAAUAGCUGGCUGACCUGGUUUACUUCAUCUGAGGGCUUAAGAAAUGAUUGCUCCAGAGGUGUGGGUCGUCCCAGGGUUAACCCUGAAGUUGCCUGGACCAGCCAAAAUCCUGCUUUGUAGUAGAUGCCUCUGGUCAGCUGGAGCCUUUCUCAGCAGUUUGCCGUUGGAUCUCUUUGCGCCUUGUUGGCUCUGGCUUCCUCCAUGCUGGUCAUUCUAAAACUGUAUGUGGUUCAGAGCAAACCAGCUUUUGUGGUUAAAACUGGAAUGCGAGUUUAUAUUUUAACCAACUGACUUAUUUUACUUUUGGUUUUGCAAUUAAUGAAAUGUAACUUCACAAACACAAGAAAUCAGUUGUAUGCUGGUUUAUAGCAGACAGGCAUAAAUUAGUAAUCUGUUUUAGGUACCAAAUUUAUAGUGAAGACCAGAAGUAUUAAAAUAUUAAAUUACAAAUUUGGAAACAGAACUGUAAAAGAAACAAAAUUAUGCUCUGAUUUUUUUUUAUUAUUAUUUUUUUUACAAUUUAUAAAAAAUAGAUUGAAUUGGCUAAUAAUAUCGUCUUAUUGUCUGUGCCAGUGGAUAUAUGGAAAAACAUAACUGAAUUACUUUGACGAUGAAGAUAAAAUAAGUAAUAUAUAUAUAUUCUCCGGUGUCUUUAUUUAUAAUGACCAAGUGUAAUUCACAAAAGAAAAAAGGUAUAUGUUUCAUACCAAAGAUUUUGGUGUCACAACUCAGUUAAAUCUGAACAACAAUCUUCAUGUCAUUUAUAGAUUGCCUGUAGUCCACUGUCUACAUCAUUUAGUGUAUGUUUGUAGGAACUUUGACUCCACCCUUGUAGGUGGACCUACGCUGCAGAAGAUAGUAUGAAGAUAUGAGAUAUUCACCUGAAACAGACCUGCGAGCACUUUCUUUUAGAAACUUAAUUUUACAUUGUUGCUAAGAUGUAUUUACUAAAAAUGUCACACAAAUUCAUAAUUUUGAAGAGUAAACCAUUUUAUUACUAACACUGGAGUAGUUAAAUUUGUUUAUUAUUAUACAGAAACUAACUGUUUUACAAAAACAAAAUGAUACAAUGUCACACAUAUGUACAGUAUAGUAAAUAUACCAUCUCAAAUUGUACACAAAGUAUUUACAAUUCCACACAUACUGCAUUAAAAA